AAGGGCCAAGANCACNNGCAGACCCAUUUAUCUUUNACUGACCGACAGAUGACAUUAAGUGCAUGGNGCAUCAAUGGAAAUUAAGACGCCUGAUCACUACGCGUCACUAAUUCAAAGCUCUGGGUGUUUGGACAGACAGCCUGNAGGGGACUUNNNAGCGUAACAUAGCAUUUAAUACUAGGUGGCAUUACGUAUCGUGUGGAGCACUAGUAANUAUGAUAAUGAGUCCCCANGUGAACUUCUUGGAUUUCAUGAAAGAUUAACUUCUGCGAAAGCAUCUGCCAAGGAUGUUUNCAUUAAUCAAGAACGAAAGUUAGGGGAUCGAAGACGAUCAGAUACCGUCGUAGUCUUAACCAUAAACGAUGCCGACCAGCGAUUAGGAGACGUUGAAUACAAAACACCACCAUCGGCGCGGUCGAUCCCUGGCUCGUCGUAUCACGACGGCGUGGCGGAGGGCGGNUUAGCCCGAUGGACACCGGUGAAUGACUCCCCUAGNAGCAUU
rnacentral:rRNA from 1 species